UCCACGCCUAUAUAAGUAGAAUUGCCCUUCUUUCUCUCUCGCAAUUUAACCUAAAGCCAGACAUAGCCAUGGACCUCGUCUCAUCCUUGGAGCGCCAGAAGUCAGUGGUGCUCGAUAAGAACGUCGGUGAAAAAGAAAUUUUCUCGCCAGAUAUGGUUCCCCUCAAUCGCGAUACGCCAAUCUGCAUUGACAGUGACACCCAAGCGGACCGUGAUGAUAUAUUAGGGCAAACUGUUUCCAUGAAUUUUUUUGAUAAAUAGGUGCAAACUGUUUCCAUGUAGUCAUUAUAUUGAUUUAUUUGUUAUUAUUCAACUGAUUUGUUGGGUUUUCACAUCACGGCCUUUUUUUUAUUGGUAUUUGACAAUGUAAUUGCAAACAGGUAGCAAGGCUGAUCUUGAUUAUAUGCCUUUCGGCUGGGGCCCUUCUAUUCCUCCUGGUGAAUGUGUAUUGUUUAAAGAUAGAUGAGCAUCAUUCGUCAAACUGCCCUUACAGGAAGCGUGUCCCAAAGAAUGCAACAGUUGGCAAUGGUUGUGAGAUAGUUUGUUCGGGUUGUGGUCAGUUUUUAAGAGGCAACUGUUGUGGAGAUGAAGGAUUUGCGAUUUCCAAGGUGCGUUGUAUUUGUGGGGAGAUUGGUCACUGGCCUACAACGUGCCCAAGCCCACUCCGCCAGGGGAAAGAUAUUUCAUGAUGGACUUCUGUUAGAACUUCUGAGGUUUGCUUGUUUUCAGGUUUCUUACAACUUCUGUCAAUUGAAAUAGUAGACAAGUUUUUGGGACUCUAAAUUCAAAGCAAUUAUUUUUAAAACAUUGUAUGUUAAUUACUAUUUAUAACGAAUGUGUAGAAUUUUUUUAUCGAUGUGUAGACUUUGCGUAACUACUGUUUUUAGUAGUUGAUGAGGAUUUGGUUA